UGGGGAAUAUUGCACAAUGGGCGAAAGCCUGAUGCAGCAACGCCGCGUGAGUGAUGAAGGUCUUCGGAUUGUAAAGCUCUGUCUUUUGGGACGAUAAUGACGGUACCAAAGGAGGAAGCCACGGCUAACUACGUGCCAGCAGCCGCGGUAAUACGUAGGUGGCGAGCGUUGUCCGGAUUUACUGGGCGUAAAGGGUGCGUAGGCGGAUGUUUAAGUGAGAUGUGAAAUACCCGGGCUUAACUUGGGUGCUGCAUUUCAAACUGGAUAUCUAGAGUGCAGGAGAGGAGAAUGGAAUUCCUAGUGUAGCGGUGAAAUGCGUAGAGAUUAGGAAGAACACCAGUGGCGAAGGCGAUUCUCUGGACUGUAACUGACGCUGAGGCACGAAAGCGUGGGUAGCAAACAGGAUUAGAUACCCUGGUAGUCCACGCCGUAAACGAUGAGUACUAGGUGUAGGAGGUGUCGACCCCUUCUGUGCCGCAGUAAACACAUUAAGUACUCCGCCUGGGAAGUACGAUCGCAAGAUUAAAAC
rnacentral:rRNA from 1 species